rnacentral:rRNA from 1 species
GAUGAACGCUGGCGGCGUGCCUAAUACAUGCAAGUCGAGCGAACGGACGAGAAGCUUGCUUCUCUGAUGUUAGCGGCGGACGGGUGAGUAACACGUGGAUAACCUACCUAUAAGACUGGGAUAACUUCGGGAAACCGGAGCUAAUACCGGAUGAUAUUUUGAACCGCAUGGUUCAAAAGUGAAAGACGGUCUUGCUGUCACUUAUAGAUGGAUCCGCGCUGCAUUAGCUAGUUGGUAAGGUAACGGCUUACCAAGGCAACGAUGCAUAGCCGACCUGAGAGGGUGAUCGGCCACACGGGAGCUGAGACACGGUCCAGACUCCUACGGGAGGCAGCAGUAGGGAAUCGUCCGCAAUGGGCGAAAGCCUGACGGAGCAACGCCGCGUGAGUGAUGAAGGUCUUCGGAGCGUAAAACUCUGUUAUUGGGGAAGAACAUAUGUGUAAGUAACUGUGCACAUCUUGACGGUACCUAAUCAGAAAGCCACGGCUAACUACGUG